rnacentral:rRNA from 1 species
UGGCGCACGGGUGCGUAACGCGUAACCAACCUACCCGAAUCUGGGGGAUAGCCCGCCGAAAGGCGGAUUAAUACCGCAUAAAACUGCAGCACGGCAUCGUGUAACAGUUAAAGAUUUAUUGGAUUCGGAUGGGGUUGCGUGCCAUUAGCUAGUUGGCGGGGUAACGGCCCACCAAGGCGACGAUGGCUAGGGGAGCUGAGAGGCUGGUCCCCCACACGGGCACUGAGAUACGGGCCCGACUCCUACGGGAGGCAGCAGUAGGGAAUAUUGGGCAAUGGUCGAGAGACUGACCCAGCCAUGCCGCGUGCAGGAUGAAGGCUUUCUGAGUCGUAAACUGCUUUUACCAGGGAAGAAAAAAGGGGAUGCGUCCUCUACUGACGGUACCUGGUGAAUAAGCACCGGCUAACUCCGUGCCAGCAGCCGCGGUAAUACGUAGGGUGCGAGCGUUAAUCGGAAUUACUGGGCGUAAAGCGUGCGCAGGCGGUGAUGUAAGACAGUUGUGAAAUCCCCGGGCUCAACCUGGGAAUUGCAUCUGUGAC